AGAUGAUCACUGUGGGUCUUUUCAGCCUUUGUAAUGACAUGAGCCGAUUCUUGUAAUAUAUCCCCUUCCUUCUAUCUUCCUCUCUAGCCCUUUCCAUUGGUAUGCUGGAAUAAAACAAUAUGUGUCUUUAAAAGUGCUAGAAAUUGAAGCAGAGCCUCAUACAUUGGCUAAGCAUUGCAACAUCUGCAUCCCGAGUCUCACCCAGCAUCCUCUCUGUAUGGAUAUCCUAAACUACUCUUCUGAUUCAACCCAUGAAGAAGAGAAGUAUGAUUUAGGCCACUCCAUUUGGUUGACAUUCAGCCUCCCAAAGACUUUCAGCAUCUCUUUCCAUGUUCCCUCAACUCCUCAACCAUCUUAAUUCAUAUAUCAAACUUAAUGCAGGAAAUACAUAUUCUCUACUUCCAAGGCACUAUUAUACUAUAUUACAUAACAAAAUGUGCCAAGAGUUAUGAGCUCUUCCUGCAUUGCUGGUGUAUUGAAGACCAGAUGCUGAAUGCUUGACCUCACCAAACCCAGGGUUUAUUAUAGAUGAUUAAGCAC
rnacentral:lncRNA from 1 species